UACUAAGAAGCAAACAUAUGUAUUGAGGAAACAGAAGGCUUCCACCAGCAUGUGACUUCAGGACAUCCACCGGGGGGCAAAGCUAAGUGCCAGUCUUUGCCAGGUGCUGGGUUGGGGUUGUCCUGUCCACACACUCGGAUGUCAUCUCUAUCAGAUGAGGAACAAAGGAAAAUUUCAUUGACUAUGGAUGUCCAACUUCAAGCCGUGUAGUAAACUUGCAGGCUGUACCGCUCACAACACCCCCAGAAAUGUCAAACUGAGCUUCUUUGUCACCCUUGCUUGUGGGACAUGUGAGAAAGUGCCAAAGCAAGGAGAUGACCAGAAGGUGAUGCCUAGACUGAGUAAGAUUUUAUUGAGAUUCCUCAAAAAAGAGAUUUUCAACUUACACAUGUGUGAGAGACAGCGGAAUGUCAAAGAAAAGAUUUCAAACAACCUCUCUAAAGAAGAAUAAAAGAAAAAUGUAAUACUUUGCAGAAAAAAAUACUUUCAUAUAUUCUGAGCAAAUUUUAUAUUGACGACAUGAUUUUGGUAUAACUUAUUGACUGUCUUUUCCCCAAAUGACCAGCAUAAAAACCUGUUCAUAAAGAAAAUCAGGGUCACUAGAUUAUGGAAUAAGAAGAAAACAGCAACAGAGAGAAUGGUUAUCUUGUGCAGAUUCUCCACUCUUAUUCCAAAAAUCCUUAACAAAAAGGCUCACAAUACUUCAUGACUUUGUUUUUGCUCAAUAUUUGAGAUAUUUUCUUUAUUGGAAUUUUCCAAAAAAAAAAAAGUCUGUACCUGUAGUAAAAAUAUUCCUUUCAUGUACAAACAACUUGGUAUGCUUUAAAGAUUUUUUCAUAU